AGCAGCCGCGGUAAUUCCAGCUCCAAUAGCGUAUAUUAAAGUUGUUGCAGUUAAAAAGCUCGUAGUUGAAUUUCGGGAUCAGUUUGUUGGUCGUGCUUCGGUACGUACUGUCAUUACUGGUUUCUACCUUCUGAAGAACCUUGAUGUCAUUAAUUUGGUGUCUUGGGGAAUCAGGACUGUUACUUUGAAAAAAUUAGAGUGUUUAAAGCAAGCAUACGCUUGAAUACAUUAGCAUGGAAUAAUGAAAUAGGACGUUUGAUUCUAUUUUGUUGGUUUCUAGGAUCGACGUAAUGAUUAAUAGGGAUAGUUGGGGGCAUUAGUAUUCAAUUGUCAGAGGUGAAAUUCUUGGAUUUAUUGAAGACUAACUACUGCGAAAGCAUUUGCCAAGGAUGUUUUCAUUAAUCAAGAACGAAAGUUAGGGGAUCGAAGACGAUCAGAUACCGUCGUAGUCUUAACCAUAAACUAUGCCGACUAGGGAUCGGAUGAUGUUAUUUUUAAUGUACUCAUUCGGCGCCUUAAC
rnacentral:rRNA from 1 species